UACGUAGGGUGCAAGCGUUGUCCGGAAUUAUUGGGCGUAAAGAGCUCGUAGGCGGUCUGUCGCGUCGGUCGUGAAAACUUGGGGCUUAACCCUGAGCUUGCGGUCGAUACGGGCAUGACUGGAGUUCGGCAGGGGAGACUGGAAUUCCUGGUGUAGCGGUGAAAUGCGCAGAUAUCAGGAGGAACACCAGCGGCGAAGGCGGCGCUCUGGGCCGGAACUGACGCUGAGGAGCGAAAGCGUGGGUAGCAAACAGG
rnacentral:rRNA from 1 species